rnacentral:tRNA from 2 species
AGAAAUACGUCUGAUGAAAGAGUUACUUUGAUAGAGUAAAUAAUAGGGGUUUAAAUCCCCUUAUUUCUA